UGAAAAGUUUUCUAGGGUUCCGUAACUUUUUGGUUGGUCUGGUUCGAGAGAAAACUCGUCGCUUUUUAGCGAUGCCACGGAAGGAUAAAAGCCUGGGAGAU
rnacentral:sRNA from 2 species